GAAAAAUUUAGAAGGAGAAAAACAAAGAAACAAGAGCAAGAACAUAAGGGUCAUACGGCCAAGCUCUUGAAAUUUUGUCCCUUUGAAAUCUUUCUCCAAAAAUUAUUUUUUGUGGUAUUUCCACUAAUUCAAGGGUCCUUUACAACUUGGUGUAAUUAUUUUGGAAGAAAGAGCACUUGUUUCUUCAAGUUGACAACUUGGUCAAGUGAAGAAGAUUGUAGAAAAAGAUUUUGGCGAACUUGAAACUUGAUUUUGGAGACGUGUAUGAAGCGGAAAAGGUCAGCAGACAGGUGGACGUGAUCCUUAGAAGCUCUACCAGCCGCACUUGACAGCGCUCCAGUUGUUCCGGAGCCUCACUCCAGCGGUACUAUUUUAUGCAUAUACAUUCGGGCUUGGUAGCACCCCGACCCUUUCUAUGUAUAAGUGUACUAUGUCUAGAGGCUCGUAGACAGAUACGUACAGUCAGUCAGGUACAGAUAUAUGUAUAGUGUUUUGGCAUGUUAAUAUUGUUGUACAAGGUAAUAACGGAGUUUAUUAGUUUAUGUUCAAGGAAAAAAAAAUGGCUCGGUUUACACGGCUUGCUAAGAGGUACAGGUAAUACGAUAGAUAAGGGGUG